ACGGCUCCGGCCGUGAAUAGAGUGGCGAACGGGUGAGUAACACGUGACCAACCUGCCCCCUACCCCCGGGAUAACGCAAGGAAACCUGCGCUAAUACCGGAUACUCCUUCCCCUGCUCCUGCAGGGGUCGGGAAAGCCCAGACGGUAGGGGAUGGGGUCGCGGCCCAUUAGGUAGACGGCGGGGCAACGGCCCACCGUGCCUGCGAUGGGUAGCCGGGUUGAGAGACCGACCGGCCACAUUGGGACUGAGAUACGGCCCAG
rnacentral:rRNA from 1 species